UGCCAGCAGCCGCGGUAAUACGGAGGGGGUUAGCGUUGUUCGGAAUUACUGGGCGUAAAGCGCGCGUAGGCGGACCAGAAAGUUAGGGGUGAAAUCCCGGGGCUCAACCCCGGAACUGCCUCUAAAACUCCUGAUCUAGAGUUCGAGAGAGGUGAGUGGAAUUCCGAGUGUAGAGGUGAAAUUCGUAGAUAUUCGGAGGAACACCAGUGGCGAAGGCGGCUCACUGGCUCGAUACUGAAGCUGAGUUGCGAAAGUGUGGGGAGAAAACAGGAUUAGAUA
rnacentral:rRNA from 1 species